UCAACGUUUUCGCAUUUCAAAAGAGGCCUUUAUAAUGAUACUGGAAACAAUAAAUUUGCCAGACGGUAGUCGUUCUACAUACAUACCUUCAAUAUUAAGAUUUGCUAUAACUAUUGAGACUUUGGGUGGCGGAGGGUACCAAUGGUUGACAGGCAACGAUUUUGGACUCGCUCUUGCACAAAGCACAUUAUCCAAAAAGUUUCGGAAACAACAAACAUUAUGGAAGCCAGCUAUGUCCCCUGUGGAUAAAAUGGAGUCUAUCUGGGGAAAACGAAAAGUCCGAAAUAAAGCAAUGGUUUUAUCAAAAAUUUUCAAUACCAGGAGUUGUAGGUUGCAUAGAUGGCACACAUUUUUAUUUACAAAGACCACGGGAAGAUGAACAAAUAUUCUUUAACAGGAAGGGAAAACACAGCGUAAAUGCAAUGGUUAUUUGUGAUCAUAAAAUGAGAAUAAUGGCAAUUAAUGUUAGAUACGGUGGAUCUGCACACGACUCAUUCGUAUGGAAACAUUCAAAUGAAAGACAAUUUUUCGAAAACACUUUUAAUGUACGAGAACAUAACUAUUGGCUUUUGGGUGAUAGUGGAUAUCCAUUAGAACCUUGGUUGCUUUCACCAUAUAGAAGCUCAUCCGAUGAAACGAAAAGUCAUUUUAAUAAUGUUCAUGCAAAAGCUAG